rnacentral:rRNA from 1 species
AUUGAACGCUGGCGGCGUGCCUAACACAUGCAAGUCGAGCGGUAACAGGUGUAGCAAUACAUGCUGACGAGCGGCGAACGGGUGAGUAAUGCUUCGGAAUCUGCCCAUGUAGUGGGGAAUAACCAGCCGAAAGGUUGGCUAAUACCGCAUACGACCCUUGCCCACAAGGCAAAGGUGAAAGGCAGGGGAUCGCAAGACCUUGCGCUAUUGGAUGAGCCGAAGUCGGAUUAGCUAGUUGGUAGGGUAACGGCCUACCAAGGCGACGAUCCGUAGCUGGUCUGAGAGGACGACCAGCCACACUGGGACUGAGACACGGCCCAGACUCCUACGGGAGGCAGCAGUGGGGAAUAUUGGACAAUGGGGCAACCCUGAUCCAGCGACGCCGCGUGUGUGAAGAAGG